AGUGAACGCUGGCGGUAGGCCUAACACAUGCAAGUCGAACGGCAGCACAGUAAGAGCUUGCUCUUACGGGUGGCGAGUGGCGGACGGGUGAGGAAUACAUCGGAAUCUACUUUUUCGUGGGGGAUAACGUAGGUAAACUUACGCUAAUACCGCAUACGACCUACGGGGGAAAGCAGGGGAUCUUCGGACCUUUCGCGAUUGAAUGAGCCGAUGUCGGAUUAGCUAGUUGGCGGGGUAAAGGCCCACCAAGGCGACGAUCCGUAGCUGGUCUGAGAGGAUGAUCAGCCACACUGGAACUGAGACACGGUCCAGACUCCUACGGGAGGCAGCAGUGGGGAAUAUUGGACAAUGGGCGCAAGCCUGAUCCAGCCAUACCGCGUGGGUGAAGAAGGCCUUCGGGUUGUAAAGCCCUUUUGUUGGGAAAGAAAAGCAGCAGGUUAAUACCCCGCUGUUCUGACGGUACCCAAAGAAUAAGCACCGGCUAACUUCGUG
rnacentral:rRNA from 1 species